UCCGCCCUAGAACCCCCCCUCCCCCCCGCCACCUCUCCUCCGCCCCCUCCUCGUAUCGCCACGGCCUUCGCCCUGGAGUCCCGCCGCCGCCUGCUAUUCCUCCUCCACCAUGCUAGCCCCUCUACCUCGUCUUCCUUCUCUUCGUUGUUGGUUCCAGAUCGAGCGCGGGUUAGGCGAGCCCGGUGGUGGGGUGAAGGGGCAGGGGAAGAGGAGGUGGGCGACUAGGUGAAGGAGCAGGUCGGCCCUUCUGGAGGCGGCACCGCCGCCCAGCCAGGGAGGAGGCCAGGCUCGCCUCUGUUUUGCCCUGAGCGGCGGCAGCGCCUAUGCCUCCACCCCACCUUCUUUUCUAUGCCUGAUUUUGGGGAUGGGGAGACCCCAUGAAUAAUAAUUCAAGUGGACGGCCGAUGCGCCUUGUUGUUUAGCGGUAUGAUCUAUGAUGGUCGGCGAAAGUAUGUUCUAUAUUGCAAGAUGAUUGCCGCUGAUGUCAAGCCUCUCGAAAUCUGAGAGCCUCCUCCAACUUCCCCUCCCCACCAAGGAUGACGUAGUAACCGCAUGCAGAAUUAACUACAACUUGAGUAGAUGCACAUUAUUCACUUCAUAUUCCAAUGGUUUUACUUCCACAUCACAGGUACUCAGACAUAGUGAAAGCAAAGACCGAAAGGUUUCGAUUUAGAUGAUUUGGAGGUGCCUUAUCCAUCUUUUUACCUCAAGGUCAAAAUUAAGCAGAUGUUUUAUUGCUAAAGGACAUGCUCUUACUAUCUGAGAUGGAUGAUGAUGCGCGGUACAACCGAAAAUUCAGAGUUGGGCUUUACACACUUCAGUGGGCAAGUGAAUUCCCAGUUUUUCUUCUUUCCCCUGUUUUUGAUAGAAAGACUAUAGGGGAACCCCCUAUAGUAUAAUUGGUGCAACAAACCCAACUUGCAAGCACCAUGCCUUGAACCUGGGUGGGUGGGAAGGCAUCAGCCCCUUCCCACCACUAGGCUAUGCCUUAGUCUGCUUCUUCUUUCCCCUGUUACUUCUCUAUUGUACAAAGAGCAAUGAGUUUAUAUUAGCUGAAUCCUGAAUGUUAGAUUGGAAUUCAAGAGUAGCAUCACAACACGGGGGUGGAGACCUGAAGCGAAGCAGAGGGGCGGCGAACGAAGGAAAUCAGAGUCGCGCUAUUUCUAUAUCAUAAUUCCGUGCUCUUAUUUUUUUUUACAUAUUUACAAUCUUGUGUUCUGAAUAAUUCCUGUGGCUUGACAAGAUAGAGUGGAGGAUCAAGGAAUGAAAUCAGAACAUUUUUCUAUUUAAAUAUAUCCAAAGGAUGAUAAUUGGUCAUGUCAAGAUGAGUGCAUGAGAAGGAUUGUGAAAAAGAAAGGUGAAAAGGGUUCUGAGUAUUCUUUCCUCACUUUUCAUGACAUGAAUAUGUCCUUUAGUUCUUGUUAUUCAUAUUAAAGAAAGCGAAAAGUAAUAAUUAUGCAUAUUUUGAAAAUUUGUGUUCUACAGUUCAAUCAAUGAGACCAUAAUUUAGUGGCGAAGCAUAUUAAACAGUACAGAUGUUGCCCACACAUGAGCGCCCAUGGGGAAGCCCAGAUCCAUCAUGUCACUUUGCGUGGAAAGCGGUUCAAUUCUCUAUUUUCCAUGUAUAUAGAGUAUCAUGCUUCCACUAUAGUGCUCAUAGAUCUUGUAUGUG